UCCUCCAUCUUUCUCCUUCAUCUCAUACCCAUUUCUCUCACUUUUCCCUCUUGGUUGUGGUGGCCGUGAGCUGCCGUCCACUGUUCAGCUCACUGGGCUACCCUUGCCACGAGAUCUCGCUAUGCUGUCAUUCUCUCAUGUUGGCUAUGAGUCCCUAGCCCUUGCUGGACCUCCCUCAAGUCGUGUGCUGUCGUUCUUUUGCUAUUGUAGCCUUCACCGUGAGCCGCCAUCACCUAUGAGCCUUGCCACAGUCACCACUGCAUGCCAUAGCCUAGUUUUUGGAGGUGAUGGUUCCAUCCUGAUGUGUAUGAUUAUGCGGGACGAUACUCGAUUAAUGGAAUGAGCUUGAAUGCCCCCAAGUCAACAGGAUGUCAUUCGUGGAUGGAUUUCGGAAUGAAGCUUCUUAAUGGAAUGCUAUCCUGAGGUGAAUGAAUACGUGGGAUGUUGCUAUGCUUGAUGGGGUGAGAUGAUGCCCUAUUACGCCAGAUGACUACAAACCUUCGGGUUGGCCUUGGGCCCUAAGUGGUCGUAAUAAUCUGAAUGUAUGAUCUCGAGGGUAGUAUGGUAGUAUAGGAUGUCAUGAUAUUCUCGAGACGCCUGUGUGCAAUGUUCAUGAGUGUUGAAUGCAUAAUAUGAAAGAGACGUUAUGACUUGCACAAGUGUGGCAUGAAGAUAUAUGAAUUGCAUGAGACCCGUACUUGAAUGAAAUAUCAUACUAGUGGCUUA